GACGAACGCUGGCGGCGUGCUUAACACAUGCAAGUCGAACGAAAAGAGGGAAAGAGCUUGCUCUUUCCGGAAUUGAGUGGCAAACGGGUGAGUAACACGUAAACAACCUGCCUUCAGGAUGGGGACAACAGACGGAAACGACUGCUAAUACCGAAUAAGUUCCAAGAGCCGCAUGGCCCAUGGAAGAAAAGGUGGCCUCUACCUGUAGGCUAUCGCCUGAAGAGGGGUUUGCGUCUGAUUAGCUGGUUGGAGGGGUAACGGCCCACCAAGGCGACGAUCAGUAGCCGGUCUGAGAAGAUGAACGGCCACACUGGAACUGAGACACGGUCCAGACUCCUACGGGAGGCAGCAGUGGGGAAUCUUCCGCAAUGGGCGAAAGCCUGACGGAGCAACGCCGCGUGAGUGAUGACGGCCUUCGGGUUGUAAAACUCUGUGAUCCGGGACGAAAAGGCAGAGUGCGAAGAACAAACUGCAUUGACGGUACCGGAAAAGCAAGCCACGGCUAACUACGUG
rnacentral:rRNA from 1 species